ensembl:lncRNA
GAGAAUUUGAGGUUGGAGGAAACAAGGCCACGAGUGACUCUAACCAUAGUCUUUGAGCUAAAGGUCGAAAGCAUCUGAGCCCUGGAAAACUCACUCACGCCCUGGCUGCCUCCAGUGGAAAUAAUGUCUUGGUAUCUUGAAAUAACUUCUUUUAAACCUCAAUUUUUAAAAAAAAUUUUCAUCCAGGUGAUGGUGUAUUAAUCCAGCUGAGUCUAAAUCAAGCACAGACAUUUGCCUCAUGAAAGUUCUCUCUCCCAUAUGUUGGUCCUUGUUUUGGACUUUCAUCAAGGGAAAUGAACACACAGACUUGCUGAGCCUACAAUUUUAGAUAAAGAGGGUGAAGGAGAUGUGGGAAUUCUCAACCUGGUCAGAGAAUGGGCUUUGGAGGGAGCACUAGAGUACCAUGGGGAAGAAGAAAGGAAAAGAGGCCAAAUGCUCUGUGGGACAACUAAGGUCGACCAGCUGACCCAGGUGGAUACAGCCACCGGGACAAGUAAGCCCUGGUGCCUGCCCUCAAGGGAUCUGGGGUGUGAGGAUGCAACUGUGGCCCAGAAAGGUGAAACGACUUUGGUUGUGGAGUCUUUGACUCGCAGCCCAGGGGUGUCUGCAGCAGCCAGUGCAUCAGGCUGCAAAUGAUCAUGGACUCCAUAAACUGGACAAGAAGACCAACAGCAUCCCUAUGGGCAGAGUAACAGCGAGUGUUUCACGACAACUGCUCACUGCCCACCUCGAGGCUUAUCUCAGGCACAGCACUGAAGAGCAGCAGGACCAGAAAAUUAAAAGUCUGUA